CAGCUGCCUCCUCCAUCUCAUGUUUACCGCAGGUCUUGAUUGUCUCAUUUUCUCUUGUGCUUAAGCUAAGCUCAGGUUGUUUUGUUCAUUGUGGCCUUAGAGCAAAAGGCUGUACUAUACACAAACAGACACACCAUAUAACCUGGCUGUGUGGUAGGCUACAUCUAGACUUGUGUAAGGAAAGUCUUGUGAUGUUUGCAUGAGAACAAAGUCACCCAAUGCUGCAUUCCCCAGAAAAUCCCCUUAGUUCAGUGAUGCAUAACUAUAUUUCUAAGGCCUUCUUUUUCUCUAUUUUUGCAGGUACAAGAUGAGAAAAGCUAAAGGAAAUGAAUGUUCUUCCCUCAGGCCAUGGGAAGCACCCCAACUGGAAGAGCCAACAUGCUAACAGUCAGAUGUGGGUGAAGGGAACUCUGGAAGGGACCAGCACCACAAUCAUUGUCAUGGUUUUGCUCUUUUCUUAAAGCUGACAUGCACACAGGUUUUUGUUUGAGGGCAAAAAAAGAGGAGCUACCCGAAUUAUUUAAAACUUUGCUUUUGCAGACAACGAAGAUAUUAAAAGUUUAAAGAAUGAAGAGUCUGAGCCAGGCACGGUGGCGCACGCCUGCAAUCCCAGCAGCUCAGGAGGCUGAGGCAGGAGGAUCAUGGGUUCAAAGCCAGCCUCAGCAAAAGCAAAGCACUAAGCAACUCAGUGAAACCCUGUCUCUAAAUAAAAUACAAAAAAGAGCUGGGGAUAUGGCUCAGUGGUAAAGUGCCCCUAAAUUCAAUCCUUGAUACCAAAAAAGGGGAAAAAAAAAGAAGAAGAAGAAGAGUCUCAAAAAAUAAGUUUGACCAAGAUAAUGAGUCUGGGCAUCUAAGUAACUAAGAAAUCAUUUCCAUUCCAUACUUACAAGAGGUUGAUCAGCCAUGAUGCUUUCUCUGCUCAUGUAUUCCCACUACCAGGACAAAUGAGGCCAGUUUCUUCUCUCCUAAGUUCUUUCUCAAAAAUAGUGGGAAAGGGCCAGGUGCAGUGGCACAAGGUUGUAAUCCCAAGUUAUCCAGGAGGCUGAGGAAGGAGGAUCACAAGUUUGAGGCCAGUGUGGGCAACUUAGAGAAAGACCCUGUUUCAAAAAUAAAACAAUCUGGGGGUGUAGCUCAGUGUAUAGUAUCCCUGGGUUCAAUCCCCAGUAACACACACACACACACACACACACAAAAUGUGGGGCAGAGAGGAAGAUAUGGAAUUGUUUGUGUUUGCUAUAUCAGCACAAACCUGGGAGGACAAACCUGAGAGGAUAUGCAAGAAACUAACAAUGCUUUGAACUUAAGGUGGAUGCGGAAGUGGUAGAUGGGGACAGAUUUCUU
rnacentral:lncRNA from 1 species